GACAGAGGGUGCAAACGUUGUUCGGAAUUACUGGGCGUAAAGCGCGUGUAGGCUGCUUGGAAAGUCGGAUGUGAAAGCCCUGGGCUCAACCCAGGAAGUGCACUCGAAACUUCCAAGCUGGAGUCCUGGAGAGGAAGGCGGAAUUCUCGGUGUAGAGGUGAAAUUCGUAGAUAUCGAGAGGAACACCGGUGGCGAAGGCGGCCUUCUGGACAGUGACUGACGCUAAGACGCGAAAGCGUGGGGAGCAAACAGGAUUAGAUACCCUGGUAGUCCACGCCGUAAACGAUGGGUGCUAGGUGUCGCGGGCUUUGACCCCCGCGGUGCCGUAGCUAACGCAUUAAGCACCCCGCCUGGGGAGUACGGCCGCAAGGCUAAA
rnacentral:rRNA from 1 species